rnacentral:lncRNA from 1 species
GGUGUCAGCAAUGUCUGGGAUGCUUCUGGGGAUGUUGAAGGCGAUAGUUCUAGCAAAGGGCCUUCUGAUCAAGCAUCUAGUUUGGUUCUUGGGGUGUGCUUCAACCAUGUGUGAUCAACAUUAAUUCCUUGGUAGAAUUGGGAACCCUGGGGAUUGGGUUCGGGUGUCAGUUGUGGACGUCGGGUAGAGGACAAGUGUUUUGGUUUAUAUGGAGUGGUUAUUAUGUUGAGGAGAUUCAGCCAGUUAAUUUCGAUGCAGAUGAAUUUGAAAUCUAUGAAUUUCGUUCGUAGCACCGAAAUUUUAGUUAAGGUGGAGAUUGUUAGGAGUAUGACUCAAAUAGGAGUCUUUUGAAGAGGUAUAUUCAACUUGUACUAGGAGAAUAUUAACCUAGGGUUUAAGGAAACUAAAUUGAAUAAGGAAACAAAAUCCUGUUGAAAUUGGGUCUCCUAAUUGUAAUAUAUUUUCUUGCAUUUUAGGACUCGUCUAGGAUUGGCCUAUAAAUACGAGGCUCCUCUGAUCAGUUUGUAGAGAGUAACAUGAAGCAGUAUUGUUAGUCUGUUUUGUAUUCUCCAUACUUUUGAAUUAAUAAACAUCGUUCCUCUGUGUUUAUUCUUUUUGUUCUUUCUUUACAAAUUCAAUCUUGUGUUUUUCGUUGUGUGAUCUACUAUACUUCAAUAUUGUCAUUAAAUCUCGUUCUUCAUAAUUCGGUUUGAAAUCAACGUGUGCUAUUGGAGCUCCCGUGCCCCAACAUAAUGCUCUAACCUUUUGAACUACCAGAUUUAUGUUGAGACCAAUAUAUUUGUAAAUUUUAGUUCUUUAUGUAAGAGCAUCCUCUCCUUUGUCUCGAUUGGAGCUCCUAAACUUGAUUGUUUGUGGAACCAUAUGGUCCAUAUUAGUUAUUUAUUCUUCUCCUUUUGCUUUUGCUGAAUAUGGCAAAUUUGAGCCUCUCUUGUUGUUCAAGUCCCUUAACCAAAUUUAAUUCCUUUUUUAUUUUGAUUAUCUUGCAGAAUUACUCUCCAAUCAUUACUGUGCAUCCCAUGAUAAUUGAUGGGCUACUAGGAGCGCUGGUUAUCGAGUCAUUUGUGGUGGAUGUGCCACCAAAAAAAUUGAUGACCUCCACCACCACCACAGAAAGCCACCGUCGAGGUGAUGAUUUUUAACAAUGUGUUGGAGCAGAAGUAGUGGCUUCCUAUGCUGCUAAUAAUCCUUAUGAAGCAAGCAAAGAUCCCUCAGUAGCAACCUAUACCGACUUCCUUGCCUCUGUAAAUAAGCCUUACGAGCCAAACAAAGAACCCCUUAUAGCAAAACUUGUAACCCCUCUUUUGUAAUCAGAUCAAUUUCUUCCCUCUAAAACACGAAUCCUGCUAACGGGAACAGAAUCUGAAGAGCAUAAAUCAAUUGUUCGUUUGCCAAAAAAAAAAAAAAAAAACUCCUCUCGAUACUGCAAGAAUUUGAUUUGAAACAUGGGAUUCCUUGAUUUCUUGGGGUUUAUCGUGGAUGAAGUGAAAAAAUCAAUUAAGAAAAAAAAAACAGUUUAUGAGAAUACACCACAAGACCUUUUUUUAUUACUAUUAUUAUUGGAUUAGGAUAAAUCAAUUGUUCGUUUGCCAAAAAAAAAAAAACUCCUCUCGAUACUGCAAGAAUUUGAUUUGAAACAUGAGAUUCCUUGAUUUCUUGGGGUUUAUCGUGGAUGAAGUGAAAAAAUCAACUAAGAAAAAAAAAUAGUUUAUGAGAAUACACCACAAGACCUUUUUUUAUUACUAUUAUUAUUGGAUUAGGAGUAUAUUUGUAAAUUUUUUGUUGGGAUAUUUAUCAAAAAUAUAUUUUAAUUAUGGUGUGAUUAUAAUGUGGUG